UGGAAUUUUUGUGGAAUCAUGAGAAAAUUUGAACACAAAUAUCUCCCGUGGACUAACUGAGCAAGAACUCAUUUAUCACCAAGGGGAUGGUGCCAAGCCAUUCAUGAGGGAUCUGCGCCUGUGAUCCGAACACCUUCCACUAGGCUCCACUUCCAACACUGGGAAUCACAUUUCAACAUGAGAGUUGGAGUUGACAAAUGUCCAAACCAUGUCUCCAUCCAACCAUCUAUACAGGGAUUACCUCCACCAGGACAAUCAGGCCAGGGACAGGGCAGGGCAGAAGCAAGGAGCUAAAAAAACUGGAUCUCACAAAAGUAAAGAGCAGACUGAUGGUAACCAGAGGCUGUGAAUGGAAGGGGAAAGGGAAGGGAUGCAAGGGAAAAAAAGAAGGACAGGACUAAGAGAAAGGCAGAGAUUCAUGGCUUUUUAAAAUGGUAUUUAUGGUUAUUCCCUCCUCCACCUCAUCCCUAACUUACCGGAAGACAAAAUGACAUGGGAAGAAGAGGAAAGUUGUUAGAAGGGGAGCUCUAGACAGCCAGG
rnacentral:lncRNA from 10 species